rnacentral:rRNA from 1 species
ACGGAAGGCAGCAGUGGGGAAUAUUGCGCAAUGGGGGAAACCCUGACGUAGCGACGCCGCGUGAGUGAAGAAGUAUUUCGGUAUGUAAAGCUCUAUCAGCAGGGAAGAUGAUGACGGUACCUGACUAAGAAGCCCCGGCUAACUACGUGCCAGCAGCCGCGGUAAUACGUAGGGGGCAAGCGUUAUCCGGAUUUACUGGGUGUAAAGGGAGCGUAGACGGCUGUGCAAGUCUGAAGUGAAAUCCGCGGGCUCAACCCGCGAACUGCUUUGGAAACUGUAUAGCUGGAGUGCAGGAGAGGUAAGUGGAAUUCCUAGUGUAGCGGUGAAAUGCGUAGAUAUUAGGAGGAACACCAGUGGCGAAGGCGGCUUACUGGACUGUAACUGACGUUGAGGCUCGAAAGCGUGGGGAGCAAACAGGAUUAGAUACCCUGGUA